UGCCCCCAAAUUCUUCAUUAAUUUAUGGCAGGACGCCACAAAUGCGGCCCGAGACAGAUAGAAAGAGUGAGUGAGUGAAGAAAGGGGGGCUAACUCGUAAAUAAUGAGGAGAUAUUGGGAGUGAUCGGUUGGUCCUUUCUUUAAGACCCUUUAAAUGGUUUCCUGGUGUAGAUAGGUUAGCAACACGAGAGAUUUAGAGGUUCAAAAGAAAGACAGUUAAAAGAAAAUAACAUUUUUGAUUUGGACAAUUGCAGGCUAACAGGAGCAUGAGAAA